AGCUCUGGGCUCAGCCUCCAGGGGGGGCUUAGCCCAAAGACUACAACCAAGAUGGCUACCAGAGGCCUCUGACACGCCCCCUGGCCUGCAGCAGGCUUGGAGUCAAGGGUGGGGACAGAAGGAACCAGAAACCCCCACUGGGGCCAAUUAGGGAGCUUGAAGUGGACAGGCAGUCGGCUACACUAAUGACAAGUCAGGGCUGCACAGCCCCAGCAUGUUAACAGGAGAGGGGACAGCUGAGCUUGGCUGAAAGAGAAGGAAAUUUGAAGAAAGAAAGAAACAACUAGGAGAGGCAGAGUGUAGCUCAGGGAGUUCCUGCUGAUGCCCCUCUCCCCCAAAAGGGAGUUUUUGCACUAUUCUGUGACUUCAGCUGUAUGGAUUAGGCAGCUCCAUCACUGCAGUGACUAGCGUCCCAAGAAAAAGAGCCUUUUUUUGGAAGCUGAGACACAGCACAGCUCAGGGAGUCCCUGUUAAAUUCCCCCAAAGUGGGCAUUUGCAUGGCUCUGAGACUCUAACCGCAUGGAUCAGCAACUCCAGCACUGCAUCCAUUGCUGAUCUGGCACUGACUAUGGAGAGCUAGGAGCAUUUGAGACCAUGGAAACCAGUGAGCCUGCUUUGGGUUUAGGAGAGGACUCUACCCCAUCAAAGAGAGAAGAAAAUGUAAGGUGACUUUUGUUUAAACUGGCCAUACUGCUGCAACCCUCCAUCCCAGGACAUGCAAAUUCAGCUGUAUCAUCUAGUUUUGGAAGAUGCUAGGGAGGGAGCUGAGGUUUGAAGGAGUUUGUGAAUGUGAGGAGAUGCAGAAUAAUCUCUGGUACAUGCUGAGCAGAAGGAAACGGAGAACAACAUGCUGCAGAUUCAGAAGGCUUUCCCAGUCAUGGAGCCUUGAAGAUGAAGACAUAACUGUAUAUGAUGGCAAUCAAAGGAAUGAAGAAGACAAAGCAGAAGAGGAGCAUUGUAUAGGCACGGACUGAUGGGGUAAAGGUCACAUAGUCCCAGGAACAAGAAGUCAACAAACCCUCAGGAACAUAAGCACCUAGGAAGAGAGAAAGGAAAAAAAAGACUAAGCCAUGAAAAGUUUUUUAUUGGACAUUCUGAUGGAGGAGCAAGUGGAGAAAGAAUUCAGCAUAUCCCUGGGAUUUGAAAAGGAUCAAACCUGGCUCUGUUGGUAGAGAGAAGAUGGUUAAUAAGGGGACCUGUUUCUUGUUUUAAAGCAUUUCUUGCCAUUACUGAGUCCACUGCCUUAUAGGCUCUUUGAUUCAUUAGCUCUAUUAAAUUCUCAUUUUAGACUAAUAAAAUAAUGAUUAUUUUUCAUUCCAGCCUUCAGAUCUGAUCCAAAGCCUACUUUAGUCAAUGGGCCUCUUUCCAUUAACUUCACUGGGCUCUGGAUCAGACCCAUGUUUCUAAGAUCUUUAAAAUGUCUCAAUUUUUCUCUUAAUUUAUCACGUCUCUUGCUUGGAAGUGAAACGAAACUGACUACACUAACCUCUGCUCUUAAAUUCUGCAGACAACAGAAGUUUACUGUGCAAUUCCAAUUAAAUUUGCCAUGAAAUAAAUGUAAAAAACACACACAUUCCUACCUGAAAUAAGAAAUAUUCUCCUUAGAGAAACUGUGUCAGACAGUUAAAGAAUA